GAGAUCCGCUGUUAGUCUGAUGGGCUUCCCUUUGUGGGUAACCCGACCUUUCUCUCUGGCUGCCCUUAACAUUUUUUCCUUCAUUUCAACUUUGGUGAAUCUGAUAAUUAUGUGUCUUGAAGUUGCUCUUCUCAAGGAGUAUCUUUGUGGUGUUCUCUGUAUUUCCUGAAUCUGAAUGUUGGCCUGCCUUGCUAGAUUGGGGAAGUUCUCCUGGAUAAUAUCCUGCAGAGUGUUUUCCAACUUGGUUCCGUUCUCCCCGUCCCUUUCAGGUACGCCAAUCAGACAUAGAUUUGAUCUUUUCACAUAGUCCCGUCUGGUCCUGGACUCUUUUUGGUUGGUAAGCUAUUGAUUAUUGCCACAAUUUCAGCUUCUGUUAUUGGUCUAUUCAGAGAUUCAACUUCUUCCUGGUUUAGUCUUGGGAGAGUGUAUCUGUCGAGGAAUUUAUCUUCCAUGUAGUUGAGCGGUCUU
rnacentral:lncRNA from 1 species